CUCGCCUGAACUCAAACAGAGCGUAAAUAGAAAGAAGGAAAAGCGGGACUGUUACUACGUUAAGCAUCAGCACCGCAAGCAAUCUCUCAAUAUCUGAGACUGAGACCCCAUCAGAUCCGAUCAAUUUUGUCCCCGUCACUGCUGGUAGAAUCGAAAUUGUUCAUCCGCUACUUAGACAUGAGUUUCCUCUUCGGAAAGAGAAAAAGCCCCGCAGAACUUCUGCGGGAAAAUAAGAGGAUGCUGGAUAAAUCCAUUAGAGAGAUAGAGAGGGAGAGGCAAGGUCUGCAGGCUCAAGAAAAGAAACUAAUUGCCGAGAUAAAGAAGAGUGCUAAGCAAGGGCAGAUGGGAGCUGUCAAAGUAAUGGCAAAGGACCUUAUUAGGACAAGACAUCAGAUUGAAAAGUUCUAUAAGCUGAAGUCACAACUCCAGGGUGUCGCUCUCAGAAUUCAGACAUUGAAAUCAACACAAGCAAUGGGAGAGGCAAUGAAAGGCGUUACAAAGGCCAUGGGCCAGAUGAAUAGGCAAAUGAACUU
rnacentral:misc_RNA from 1 species